rnacentral:rRNA from 1 species
CAUAGCCUACGGGGCGCAGCAGUGAGGAAUAUUGGUCAAUGGGCGAGAGCCUGAACCAGCCAAGUCGCGUGAGGGAGUACUGCCCUAUGGGUUGUAAACCUCUUUUGUCGGGGAGCAAAAGCCGGACGUGUCCGGCUGUGAGAGUACCUGAAGAAAAAGCAUCGGCUAACUCCGUGCCAGCAGCCGCGGUAAUACGGAGGAUGCGAGCGUUAUCCGGAUUUAUUGGGUUUAAAGGGUGCGUAGGCGGAAUGCCAAGUCAGCGGUAAAAUCGCGGGGCUCAACCCCGUCGAGCCGUUGAAACUGGG